rnacentral:tRNA from 1 species
GCAAUUUAAAUGCACUGAUUAGCGUCGCUGAUUGACGUUCAGAAGGAUCCAGGUUCGAAUCCUGGAGAAGGCA